GCUGCAGGAAUUCCCAAUACUAUCGAUACGGGUUGUGGGAGCAAGAUCCCGGAGAUGGAUUCUGAGACAUGAAUCCAGGCCCUACGGGGCGCAGCAGGCGCGCAAACUUUACAAUGCGAGCAAUCGUGAUAAGGAAACCCUGAGUGCCUGUCGAUGCAGGCUGUUCAUAUAUCUAAAUCAUAUGUGAAGAAAGGGCAGGGCAAGACCGGUGCCAGCCGCCGCGGUAAUACCGGCUGCUCGAGUGAUGGCCACUAUUACUGGGUUUAAAGCGUCCGUAGCUUGACUGUUAGGUCUCUUGGGAAAUCUUCGCGCUCAACGUGAAGGCGUCUAAGAGAUACCGGCAGUCUUGGAACUGGGAGAGGUAAACCGUACUUCGGGGGUAGGAGUGAAAUCUUGUAAUCCUCGAGGGACGACCUAUGGCGAAGGCAGUUUACCAGAACAGCUUCGACAGUGAGGGACGAAAGCUGGGGGAGCAAACGGGAUUAGAUACCCCGGUAGUCCCAGCCGUAAACGAUGCGCGUUAGG
rnacentral:rRNA from 1 species